rnacentral:rRNA from 1 species
AGUGAACGCUGGCGGUAGGCCUAACACAUGCAAGUCGAACGGCAGCACAGUAAGAGCUUGCUCUUACGGGUGGCGAGUGGCGGACGGGUGAGGAAUACAUCGGAAUCUACUUUUUCGUGGGGGAUAACGUAGGGAAACUUACGCUAAUACCGCAUACGACCUACUGGUGAAAGCAGGGGAUCUUCGGACCUUGCGCUAUUGAAUGAGCCGAUGUCGGAUUAGCUAGUUGGCGGGGUAAAGGCCCACCAAGGCGACGAUCCGUAGCUGGUCUGAGAGGAUGAUCAGCCACACUGGAACUGAGACACGGUCCAGACUCCUACGGGAGGCAGCAGUGGGGAAUAUUGGACAAUGGGCGCAAGCCUGAUCCAGCCAUACCGCGUGGGUGAAGAAGGCCUUCGGGUUGUAAAGCCCUUUUGUUGGGAAAGAAAAGCAGCAGGUUAAUACCCCGCUGUUCUGACGGUACCCAAAGAAUAAGCACCGGCUAACUUCGUG